GAUGAACGCUGGCGGCGUGCCUAAUACAUGCAAGUCGAGCGAACAGACGAGGAGCUUGCUCCUCUGACGUUAGCGGCGGACGGGUGAGUAACACGUGGAUAACCUACCUAUAAGACUGGGAUAACUUCGGGAAACCGGAGCUAAUACCGGAUAACAUGUUGAACCGCAUGGUUCAACAGUGAAAGACGGUCUUGCUGUCACUUAUAGAUGGAUCCGCGCCGCAUUAGCUAGUUGGUAAGGUAACGGCUUACCAAGGCAACGAUGCGUAGCCGACCUGAGAGGGUGAUCGGCCACACUGGAACUGAGACACGGUCCAGACUCCUACGGGAGGCAGCAGUAGGGAAUCUUCCGCAAUGGGCGAAAGCCUGACGGAGCAACGCCGCGUGAGUGAAGAAGGUCUUCGGAUCGUAAAACUCUGUUAUUAGGGAAGAACAAAUGUGUAAGUAACUAUGCACGUCUUGACGGUACCUAAGCAGAAAGCCACGGCUAACUACG
rnacentral:rRNA from 1 species